UACAGAGGGGGCAAGCGUUGUUCGGAAUUACUGGGCGUAGAGGGCGCGUAGGCGGCCUUCUAAGUCAGACGUGAAAUCCCUCGGCUCAACCAGGGAACUGCGUCUGAGACUGGAAGGCUUGAAUCCGGGAGAGGGAUGUGGAAUUCCAGGUGUAGCGGUGAAAUGCGUAGAUAUCUGGAGGAACACCGGUGGCGAAGGCGGCAUCCUGGACCGGUAUUGACGCUGAGGCGCGAAAGCCAGGGGAGCAAACGGG
rnacentral:rRNA from 1 species